ensembl:snRNA U6 U6 spliceosomal RNA
GUGUUUGCUUUGGCAACACAUAUAAUAAAAUUGGAAUGAUACAGAGACGAUUAGUAUGGUUCCUGAACAAGGAUGACAUGCAAAUUCCUGAAGCAUUCCAUCUUUUU